GACGAACGCUGGCGGCGUGCUUAACACAUGCAAGUCGAACGGAAAGGCCUGCUUUCCCUUGUGGAUUGCGGGUACUCGAGUGGCGAACGGGUGAGUAACACGUGAGUGAUCUGCCCCCAACUUGGGUAUAAGCCUGGGAAACUGGGUCUAAUUCCCGAUAGGACUGCAGGGUGGUGCCUGUGGUGGAAAACGAUUUUCUAGUGGUUGGGGAUGAGCUCGCGGCCUAUCAGCUUGUUGGUGGGGUAAUGGCCUACCAAGGCGGCGACGGGUAGCCGGCCUGGGAGGGUGGACGGCCCCAUUGGGACUGAGAUACGGCCCAGACUCCUACGGGAGGCAGCAGUGGGGAAUAUUGCACAAUGGGCGGAGGCCUGAUGCAGCGACGCCGCGUGGGGGAUGACGGCCUUCGGGUUGUAAACUCCUUUCGACCGCGAGGAAGCCACCUGGUUGGAAGGGUGGUGACGGUAGUGGUAGAAGAAGCACCGGCUAACUACGUG
rnacentral:rRNA from 1 species